UUCCUCGCAGUGUCAGCGCUAGAAGAUGUCGACAACAGGGACAAGUGUUUGCCUUCAUGUGCCCCUCUUGCCUCUGCCCUUCGAGAUCACAGCAUUCGCGGUACCCUUCGAUGCUCUUCUUUCUCGUUCACUGCCCUCUCAACAUUCGCUGCCUAAUCUCACUCGUUCUUGCUUUCUGCUUCGUCAAUAUCUCGGUUUGGCAUCAAAUCAUUUAGUCGAACACAUUUUUAUCUUCUUUUUCUUUUUUUUUGGGGGGAAGCAGUUUAAUUGAUCGGAACCAACCAUUUCUUUUUACAUGUUACAAAAAUUUGGCACCAAAACCCUCCCGCCCACAACUAUUGAUUUCUUCACCCAUGAACGCCGUCCGCAUCUGGUUCGGCGGCGUCAGUGACACAUCUGGCCGUCCAUCAUGCGGACGAAAUCAUCGAAGCCGACGAAGCCGUCGCCGUCGGUGUCGACGCCGCCGAUCAUCCGGCGGCAGUCGUCGAGCGUGCAGCCGCCGUCGCCCAGCGUGGCGAACACGCCCAGAAGCUCCUCCGCCGAGAUCUUCCCGUCCCCGUCCGCGUCGAACACCGCGAAGGCGUCCCGCAGCUCGGACUCCCCGCCGCGCCCCCCGCCCAGCAACGCCCCGAGCGCGCCGAACUCGUCCAGGCUGAUGCACCCGUCCCCGUCGCGGUCCACCUCCGCCACCAUGGAUGCCACCUCCUCCGCAGUGGGCGGGUCCGGGACGAGCCGCCGCAGUACCGCCUCCAGCUCCCGCUUCGUGAUCUUGCCGUCCCCGUCGCAGUCGAACACGUUGAAGAGGUCGAGCCAGGCGGCCUCGUCAGGGAGGAAGACGACAGGCGCCUUUCCAUGGUCCGGCGGGAGGACGGAUCUUGGCGUGGCUUGGCG
rnacentral:lncRNA from 1 species